GAGGAGGCCCGUAGCCACGGUGCUAUGCCUGUUUAGUGGCGUACUGUGGGUGGUGGUUCUCCAAGA
rfam:Trypanosoma theileri isolate Edinburgh TM35_Tth_3_V1, whole genome shotgun sequence.